CUUGGCGGGUGCUACCUGCAGUCGAACGUGAUCCGCCCUUCGGGGUGGUGAAAGUGGCGCACGGGUGAGUAACGCGUGGAUAAUCUGCCCGAGGAUUUGGGAUAACAUCUCGAAAGGGGUGCUAAUACCGAAUAAGCCCACGGGGUCUACGGAUCUUGCGGGAAAAGGGGGGGACCUUCGGGCCUCCUGUCCUUGGAUGAGUCUGCGUACCAUUAGCUAGUUGGUGGGGUAAUGGCCUACCAAGGCGACGAUGGUUAGCUGGUCUGAGAGGAUGAUCAGCCACACUGGAACUGAGACACGGUCCAGACUCCUACGGGAGGCAGCAGUGGGGAAUUUUGCGCAAUGGGGGAAACCCUGACGCAGCAACGCCGCGUGGGUGAUGAAGGCCUUCGGGUCGUAAAGCUCUGUCUGGAGGGAAGAAAUGAUUGGGAGCUAAUACCUCUUGAUCUUGACGGUACCUCUGAAGGAAGCACCGGCUAACUCCGUGCCAGCAGCCGCGGUAAUACGGAGGGUGCAAGCGUUGUUCGGAAUUAUUGGGCGUAAAGCGCGUGUAGGCGGUCUUUUAAGUCUGAUGUGAAAGCCCCGGGCUCAACCUGGGAAGUGCAUUGGAAACUGGGAGGCUUGAGUACGGGAGAGGAGAGUGGAAUUCCUAGUGUAGGAGUGAAAUCCGUAGAUAUUAGGAGGAACACCGGUGGCGAAGGCGGCUCUCUGGACCGAUACUGACGCUGAGACGCGAAAGCGUGGGUAGCAAACAGGAUUAGAUACCCUGGUAGUCCACGCCGUAAACGAUGAGUACUAGUGUUGCGGGUAUUGACCCCUG
rnacentral:rRNA from 1 species